rnacentral:tRNA from 1 species
GUUUAUGUAGCUUAGCAGCAAAGCAAGACACUGAAAAUGUCUAGACGAAUUAUACAACUCCAUAAACA